rnacentral:rRNA from 1 species
GGACUACUGGGGUAUCUAAUCCUGUUUGCUCCCCACGCUUUCGCGUCUCAGCGUCAGUUGUCGUCCAGAUGGCCGCCUUCGCCACCGGUGUUCCUCCUGAUAUCUACGAAUUUCACCUCUACACCAGGAAUUCCGCCAUCCUCUCCGACACUCAAGACCCACAGUUUCGAGCGCAGUUCCCAGGUUGAGCCUGGGGAUUUCACGCCCGACUUAUGGAUCCGCCUACACGCGCUUUACGCCCAGUAAUUCCGAGCAACGUUCGCACCCUCUGUAUUACCGCGGCGGCUGGCAC